CAGUAAAUAGUUUAAUUAAGAAUAUUAAUUUUGGAGAUUAAAGAUAAGUUAUUGCUUUUUACUGA
rnacentral:tRNA from 1 species